CCAGGGGAUGGGAGGAGUGACCGAGCACAGCUGAACCGGGGGAGUUUCCAGCCCAGUGGGAACAGCCGAAAAGGGUCGGAUCCUGACAAGCUCUGAUUUGAAGUCUCCAUCUGCAUGCGUUUAGAGCCAGGCUGGAUGUCUCGAGGUAUUAACCAUCACCCUUUCACCUCCCAGCUCUUGGGCCACGGCCAAGCCCUGCACCGAGGAAAUAGAAAACA